rnacentral:lncRNA from 1 species
AUGGUGGGGAUCUGUGACUCGGGGUCCCUUAUGACACUUCUUUCCCUGUCUGGAGAUGCUGGCAUCCCGGAGGGCAUGCAGCUGUCUCUCCUUGGAGAACAGGAAACAGCGAGGAGCUCACCAUGCGUCUGUUCAACUCCAGUGUUAUGUGUGAAAGAAAUGAUAUACAAAGAAGCUUCAACAUAUGUUUGGAAAAAUGGAAUUAAAAGCCAGCUGAACACAAGAAGGUGCUCCUGCCGCUUUCCCAGCCGACUCCGCUUCAAAGCUGCCUCUACCACGCAGGGUUCUUUAUUCACCUUUCCUUUGAGCAACCUGUCUGGUGAGUUUCUGCCCCUUGUUCACAGAACAGAGUCAUGACCUGCAGCUACUUUCCAUAAAGAUUUAGUUAGGUGAGUUGCUUUAUAAAUAAAA